AAGGUUCUUGUUGAAAUUUAUUGGCUCUUCCCCAUGUGCCCUCUUAGGUGUCGUUGGGAACAUUUGGGGUCAAUCCUUUAUAGUAUGUAUGUGUGUGUUGCUCAAAACACGUCUUUUUUGCAUCUUACAUGUUCCUUACGUAGAAAAAACAAGUCAAUAUUUGUCGGUUUGUUCAAUCAUUGUUGAAAUUCUUUUGCUGUCAUCAUUAAAACUUUUAGUAUAGUUUAAUGAAAUUCUACUAAAACAUAUUAGUAGCAGCUCUUAAGAGAAUUCUAUCUAAAUUGCUAUCUAAAUUGAAUUUUUUUCGUAGGAAAGUUUGACUGAUUUUAAUGAGCUAUUUGUGUACUUUGUGACCAAAAAGAUGAAAUUGUAAAUAGAUGAUUAUGUAAUGUAAUGACCAUGUGUUUGAUAUGAUUUGGCAAUCUAAUUUUAAUUGGUUUUGAGUGAUACUUUUCUAUUCUACUACAGGAUGGGAAAGAGUUAUUUUUAUUUUUGUUGUUUGGUUUAUUUGGGAUAUACAAGAAAAAGAUGAGGGAAAAGUUAGUUUUAAGACUCAAGCAAACAAAGAAUAGAAGAGUCCAUCCAAAAUCUUGGGCAGGUUAAGGUGUCUUCUCUGAUGGAUCGUGAGUUGAGGGGUGCCGUGUAGAUGUGUGUUGGGAGUCUGAUGGACCGAUCACUUUUGAUUCGAGAUUGGGAGCAAGUUUUCUUUAUGCAAGUUCUUUUCAGCUUUUUGGUGGCUCCUCCGAUUUAUCGGUUGUUGAGUGGUGUGUGAAUUUGAUCGUUUGAUGCAACAUAUCAUCGUCGGCUGCUUUUUUGAUCUCCGUUGGUGGUAGUGGAAUCUUGAUUGUUUGUUGAUUUUCCGCAAGAUGUUUUGAUGUAUUUUUAUUUUCUUUCUGAUGUAAUACUUGGGAUUUAAUCCCUUAUUUAUAUAUAAUAUAUUUUCUUUCAUGGCU
rnacentral:lncRNA from 1 species